CUGGGGGUGGGGUGGAGGGUUGCACGUCCCCAUUCUGGGGUUCAUUUGGCAACAGCUGCUGCAACGAGCGCGGGAGCCAAAAGGGGGAGGGGGCGCCAGCCUCUCCCCUUCCCCUCCCCCACCGCCAAGUCUGAGGCAGCCACCAGCUUUGAGGGCAGAGCCCGCGUGGCCGGAGCGGGGGUCUAGGCGAAGGGGCAGUGCGUGGUAUUUCCAGCCCCGCGUAGUGCCCGAAGCCUCCAAGCACGCUUCCUGGGUUCCAG
rnacentral:lncRNA from 1 species